AUGGCGGGGAGGUCCAAUAUCCCGGCGAACAACUCCGCCCUCAUCGCCAUCAUCGCCGAUGAGGACACUGUCACUGGGUUUUUGAUGGCUGGGGUUGGCAAUGUUGAUCUGCGCAAGAAAACAAAUUACCUUCUUGUAGAUAACAAAACGACAGUGAAACAGAUUGAAGAUGCAUUUAAAGAGUUUACUGCAAGGGAGGAUAUUGCUAUUGUGCUCAUCAGCCAAUAUAUUGCAAACAUGAUUAGGUUUCUGGUGGAUAGCUACAACAAGCCAAUCCCUGCGAUAUUGGAAAUUCCAUCCAAGGACCAUCCAUAUGAUCCAGCGAGUGACUCGGUCCUUUCUCGUGUGAAGUAUCUGUUUUCUGCUGACUCGGUUGCUUCUGAUAGGCGUUGA
rnacentral:rRNA from 1 species